UGGACAACUAGUGCAUUUUUUAGCUGGCGAAAAAGACCCUCUCUUUCUCAUGUUUACUCCAGCUGUCCCUGUGUUUUCCACGUCCCCGAUAUUAGCAGCCUGGCGUCAGCACAGAAGGCAGAGCUGGCCAUUGUCGAUCGCAGCUGCCAGUGGUCACCAACACCCAAGCUUGCUCUCAAGGAAAGGAGGAAAGAAAUUAUCUUCCCAAACUGCUCUCCAGCCGGUCAUUUGACCCUGACACCCACCGAUGACACUGAAGCACACCCCGUUGGAGCGGCUAAACGCCUCGCAAUUUCCUGUCUUCUGUUCCCCCGGGCGGCCCCGGCGCACCGCCGCCGAGCGAUCUUAUCGCCGUGCCAUCAUUAUUCACCGGUGACAACCAGAGAUGCAGCGCUGCUAAGUGAGGGUGACAGAUUUCAAACGCGGGGCUGCAGCGUAUCCAGCCUCAGACAUAUUCUUCCUCAAACUUUGCCUAGCAAGCAAGUCAGUGGUUUAACCCUUUGCAGCUCUUUCUCUCUCCCGGGGACCGAGAUCCCAGCAGAGGGGAAUGCUGUUUUGAGGGGAACGCGGGACAAGACGGCUACUUGGCUGGAGAUGGUUUAUUACGUGCCGUUUUCUAUUCUUGGUUAUUUUCACUUGAAACAGAUGAGAACCGCCAACUCCAGGGAGCAGAUGGAGGGCUUUUCUGUGAUUAGGGGCUGGAAAAAUCCUCUUGGCAAAGCAGAUCGCUGGGGACUCACCUGUGGUCCCUCUCUGUCACCGAGUCAGCAAACUCAUCUGCAUGGCACGAAUUCCUCUCAUACGCACAUAUACAGAGCUUCUGCACUUUCCCCAGCCAGGUGUGGUUAAAAGCACAAUUCCAAAAGUGCCAUUUCACUCAGAACUCGAGAUUCAGCUCUUUUACAGGUUAUUAACUACAACAGAGAAAGGAGCAAGUGAGAAAGAAACAUAUUUUCAGGAAAGAAAGAAAGGAAAAAAUAGCCUUUUUCACAUAUGCACUUUGUACUCAAAGGAAAUAUUUACCACCACCAAACUUCAGCCUGUCAGAACAUGUUUCUUCCUAAGCACAAGAAACCUUAAAACUGAAAAAAAAACCCCAUGUGCAAUUCAAAAAUGAAAUAAAGUGCUUGAAAGCGUUCCA
ensembl:lncRNA